UGUGCUCGCCUGACCCAUCUGACGUGCCGCUGUGGGCGCUUGGCUGAAGGUGGCAGGGCCACUCGGCUAACCCAAAGUGACACAUGCCUGGCGGGACGUUCAGUCUCUACGAA
rnacentral:lncRNA from 1 species